rnacentral:rRNA from 1 species
GACGAACGCUGGCGGCGUGCCUAAUACAUGCAAGUAGAACGCUGAAGGAGGAGCUUGCUUCUCCGGAUGAGUUGCGAACGGGUGAGUAACGCGUAGGUAACCUGCCUGGUAGCGGGGGAUAACUAUUGGAAACGAUAGCUAAUACCGCAUAACAGUAGAUGUUGCAUGACAUUUGCUUAAAAGGUGCAAUUGCAUCACUACCAGAUGGACCUGCGUUGUAUUAGCUAGUUGGUGAGGUAACGGCUCACCAAGGCGACGAUACAUAGCCGACCUGAGAGGGUGAUCGGCCACACUGGGACUGAGACACGGCCCAGACUCCUACGGGAGGCAGCAGUAGGGAAUCUUCGGCAAUGGACGGAAGUCUGACCGAGCAACGCCGCGUGAGUGAAGAAGGUUUUCGGAUCGUAAAGCUCUGUUGUAAGAGAAGAACGAGUGUGAGAGUGGAAAGUUCACACUGUGACAGUAUCUUACCAGAAAGGGACGGCUAACUACGUG